rnacentral:rRNA from 1 species
AUGGCGGCGGAUCCGCAGUGUCCGCGGCCGCUCCACCUCGGGCAGCGCGGAUCACGGCUAGCGGCCCGAUGUAGGCGUAGUGGGUACAGGCGCGGUCUGCUGUUCUGCCCCGCGCUCCCUCCAUGUAUCCCCUGCGCAUCCGGUGGCCAGACGCUUCUUCCACUCCGGCCUAGGUUGAAGCUUUAUCAGGGCCUCGGUUAUUGUUUAUUACAGAAUUGUCCAACACAGCGCCUCGUGCUAGCUGGCCUGUGGCUCACGAGGCAGCAACUUCACACCACCACGCCGCCUAGGCUUGAUUUCUUCCAUUGCAUGAAGUGCAAUUGCCGCCUUGGAAUGAGACUAUCAGAACACAAAUGUCGGGAGAAGGGGCUAGAGACAAACUGUCCAAUUUGCGGUGACCUCCUAUUCACAUCAAGUGCUGCAGUUAGAGCUCUUCCUUGUGGUCACUUCAUGCAUUCAGCUUGCUUUCAGGUGUACUUUGGCAUGCUUGAUGCAUUCUUGGCUGCUGAAGAGCUUCCAAAGGAAUACCGCAAUAGGUGUCAGGAAACCUUCGAGAGAUGUCAGUGCAACAUUCCUUAUGCAACUGCUACUGCAAUUGAUUCCUUUCCAAGCGCCUUCUAUAGAGCUUAG